UGGGGAAUAUUGCACAAUGGGGGAAACCCUGAUGCAGCAACGCCGCGUGAAGGAAGAAGGCCUUUGGGUCGUAAACUUCUGUUCUAAGGGAAGAAAAGGACUGUACCUUAGGAGCAAGUCCCGGCUAACUACGUGCCAGCAGCCGCGGUAAUACGUAGGGGGCAAGCGUUAUCCGGAAUUAUUGGGCGUAAAGAGUGCGUAGGUGGUUACCUAAGCAGGGGGUGAAAGGCAUUGGCUUAACCAAUGUUAGCCCCCUGAACUGGGCUACUUGAGUGCAGGAGAGGAAAGCGGAAUUCCUAGUGUAGCGGUGAAAUGCGUAGAUAUUAGGAGGAACACCAGUGGCGAAGGCGGCUUUCUGGACUGUUACUGACACUGAGGCACGAAAGUGUGGGGAGCAAACAGGAUUAGAUACCCUGGUAGU
rnacentral:rRNA from 1 species